AUUUUUUUUUACACAAUUUGAUAUAAUUUUAAAAGAUAGGUUUGGUGUAGUUAUAGACCCACCAACAGCUACUUUCUUCAUUUUAAUAUUAUUUCAUUUUUCUCUCCUCUCUUCACUCAUUGUCAUAAAUCAUAAUCAUUUUUUUUUUCUUUUUAUGAACACCAAAACUCUCUCUCUCUCUCUCUCAUCCAAGAUUCGUAGCUCUGAAUUUUCUUCUAAGGAACACUAUUUUCACCGUUUAGCUUUGGAUUUGCGAUAAUAAUUCAGUCAAUAUGGCGUUUCGUGCACUUCCGAUUUUGUUGAGACGCACAAAGAUAUUAACGGGAAAGUCCACUGUCGAUAGUGGAACAUGUAAGGUGCAUUUACUAAGCGUAAGACAUUGGAUCGAGAGGUCACGAGAAGAUGUAAGAGCACUGGUGUAAUACCUCAAACCAGGCAUUCUGUUUUUGGAGCUAGACGAUGACAGAGCCCCGGAUCUACUACAUCAUGUACGUUGUGUCACCAGGAGAAUCAGUGAUAAUUAAUAUGCGGAAUUUAGGAACAAAUUAAUGAAACAUAAUAAAUAUGUUUGACACAGAAAUAAUUUAACAAUAGUACAUAAAUCCUAUCAAAAUAAAACUACGCCUUUAGGAUUUACAUGAAAAUGGAAAACCCAAUCUUGAUUGAGAAGAAGAAAAUAAGGAAAAAAAAAUAGUCCUACCUUACCAAUUACCAUCAAUAGAUAAUUGAUGUCCGUCAAGUGUUGAGAUCAUAUGCGUACGGUCUGUUGAAAUAUCGCCGCAUGUUUUUCCUUCUUGUCUGUGUAAUCAUGCUCUCCGCAGCCGUUGCAAUAGGUUAGUCUCUUCGUUUUUGGUCUUGCUCGGCACAUUCACCCACAAUGUCGUCUCACUAUGGUUCCCUUUUUUGUUUUUUACUUUCAACAAAUGCUCUCUCUCUCUCUCUCUCUCUCUCUCUCUCUCUCUCCCCGAGUCUUUCUCAGAUUCACUAUAUGAUUUUCAAUGUUUACCUGUUUAUUGUUUACUAUCUUCUUACAUUCCUAGUCUCUCUCUCUUUGUGUUCAAUGUUUAACCGUUUAUUGUUUACUAUCUUCUUACAUUCCUAGUCUCUCUCUCUCUCUCUUUGUGUUCAAUGUUCAAUAUUUAACCGUUUAUUGUUUACUAUCUUCUUACAUUCCUAGUCUCUCUACAAAUGAUUUUUGCACUAUAACAUAUAUAUUUUCAUUCUAGCUAGUAAUUUUUUUAUUUGCUCCGUACCAUGUGUUUUUCAGUCUUGCACAUAUUUUGGUUUAGUAUUUGUCCAUGUGUUUUUUCAGUCUUGUACCAUUUUUUAUUAUUAAGUUAAUGCUUAUCAAUGACAUUGUAAACAAAUUGACACUGUAUACUGAUCCAACAGUAGUGCGGAAAUGAAUGUAAUUCUUAGUUUUGCCUUGA